rnacentral:SRP_RNA from 1 species
CUGUGCUAAGCGGGGAGGUAGCGGCACCUUGUACCCACAAUCCGCUAUAGUGGGGCUAACGGCCUGUUUAAGGACGGAUCAUUUCAGGUCUGCCUUGUAUAAGUGAUGUUGAUGAUUGGGUCCCGUGCGACGGACAGCUAUGAACCCCGUCAGGUCCGGAAGGAAGCAGCGGUAAGUAGUGUGGUUUGGGUGCCUCGGGAGUGCCUAAUCGGAGUUAACUGUAUGAGUAACGCUGGGGCGAUUUCGCUCGAGAACAGGCUGCACAG